AGUCAGACUGCUCUCUGCUGGACUGGAGGAUCCACACUGCAGACUGGAGAAACUCAAUGUGGAACAUGGUGGAGAGAACACAAUGAAACCUGGGCUUAGAAAAUAUGUCCGUGAUCUUACACUGGACCUAAACACAGUAAACAGACUCCUCUCUCUGUCUGAGGAGAACAGAAAGGUGACAUGUAGGAGAGAGAAACAGCCGUAUCCUGAUCACCCAGAGAGAUUUGAGGACUGUGAGCAGGUGCUGUGUAGAGAGGGUCUGACUGGGCGCUGUUACUGGGAGGUAGAGUGGAGUGGGAGAGGGGCUGAUAUAGGAUUGACAUAUAAAGGAAUCAGCAGGAGAGGAAGGGGUGAUGACUGUUGUCUUGGAUACAAUAACAAAUCCUGGAGUCUGUUCUGCUA